rnacentral:rRNA from 1 species
GACGAACGCUGGCGGCGUGCCUAAUACAUGCAAGUCGAACGCAGUGGGGACGGGUGAGUAACACGUGGGUAACCUCCCCAUCAGAGGGGAUAACACUUCGAAACAGGUGCUAAACCGAUCCUGAAGGCUGGACCCGCCGUGCAUGAGCUAGUUGGUGAGGAAACGGCUCACCAAGGCACCGAUGCAUAGCCGACCUGAGAGGGUGAUCGGCCCAACUGGGAUGGAGACACGGCCCAGACUCCUACGGGAGGCAGCAGUAGGGAAUCUGCGGAAAUGGGCGAAAGUCUGACCAAGCAACGCCGCGUGGGUGAAGAAGGUUUUCGGAUCGUAAAACUCUGUUGUUAGGGAAGCGGUAUCUAACCAGAAAGCCACGGCUAACUACGUGCCAGCAGCCGCGGUAAUAC